CGGCUGCCUCCAGUGUCACAGUCACUGAAGGGUGGCCCCAGCUAUCUCCUGCCUCUCCGGGACAUGUUCCAAGCAUAAUAACUGUCAAAGCUUGAAAAACAGCAGCAGAGGAAAGAAAAGACCAGAGCCAAAGGGCCUUCUGAAUCAAGCAAAGAAAGAAACACUCCCCGGAAAGAAGACCGCAGUGCCAGCAGCGGAGCUGAGGGCGACGUGUCCUCCGAGCGGGAGCCCUAGGCCUGGGGGCGGACCUCAGUGCAUUUUCAUUGGGCAGAACUGGAUCCUGAAAAAUUCAUGAAAGAUGCUAAGCACCUACUCGGCUUUAAGAAUUUGGAACUGAAUCGUGAAAAGGAAGACAGAAAUAAAAGAUCGAAUAGCCCUGCAAAAAAACACCAAAGGAACGUUACCAUUUUCUGUUGUUGCUGUGGUCUAAUGGGGAGGGGGUGCUGUCAGUGUAGGGGAGCGCCCCGUGCACAUGGCAGCAGGGCAUACACCCAUGCCUCCCCCACGGGAAGGCUUUGUUGGUUCCUAUGAUGUCUUGGCUUGCUUUUGGGACGGGCUGGCCCAACAUCAUUUGUUAUCAAGUCCUUUCGCACUGUGGUGUAUUUCUGCGUGUCCAUGAUGGGUCUCAAACACAUUCAUGCUGUCCAUGUUUUUCCCAGCGCUGGCCAAUCCAGGGUCCGUGUUAAGGUGUAAAGAGAACAAUCAUCAAUGAUAAUGUAUUGUGUGAGACCUUUGCAUCUUGUAAAUUUUCUCUUUUUUCUAAAAAGAAAUAAAACUCCAAAUCUCAACAAGCCA
rnacentral:lncRNA from 1 species